UGUUGUCCGACUCUGUUGCCUCCGGGGCGACCCUGCCUUCGGGCGGGGGCUCCGGGUGGACACUUCAAACUCUUGCGUAACUUUGCAGUCUGAGUAAACUUAAUUAAUAAAUUAAAACUUUUAACAACGGAUCUCUUGGUUCUGGCAUCGAUGAAGAACGCAACGAAAUGCGAUAAGUAAUGUGAAUUGCAGAAUUCAGUGAAUCAUCGAAUCUUUGAACGCACAUUGCGCCCCCUGGUAUUCCGGGGGGCAUGCCUGUUCGAGCGUCAUUUCACCACUCAAGCCUCGCUUGGUAUUGGGCAACGCGGUCCGCCGCGUGCCUCAAAUCGACCGGCUGGGUCUUCUGUCCCCUAAGCGUUGUGGAAACUAUUCGCUAAAGGGUGUUCGGGAGGCUACGCCGUAAAACAACCCCAUUUCUAAGGUUGACCUCGGAUCAGGUAGGGAUACCCGCUGAACUUAAGCAUAUC
rnacentral:rRNA from 1 species